rnacentral:rRNA from 1 species
UGCCCCUCUCUAGCCCCACCAAUCAACCCCAAGAGACAAUAAAAACUAACCCACACAAGCAAACCAAAACAUUCUAACCCCCGCCUUAGUAUGGGCGAUAGAAAAGGAACUUUGGCGCGAUAGAGAUUUUGUACCGCAAGGGAAAGAUGAAAUAACAAUGAAACCCUUAAAGCAAAAGAAAGCAAAGACUAACCCUUGUACCUCUUGCAUCAUGAUUUAGUAAGAACAACCAAGCAAAGUGAACUAAAGUUUGCCACCCCGAAACCCAAGCGAGCUACUCUUAAGCAGCUAGACUGAGCGAACCCGUCUCUGUNNNNAAAGAGUGGGAUGACUUAUUAGUAGAGGUGAAAAGCCAAUCGAGCUGGGUGAUAGCUGGUUACCUGCCAAAUGAAUCUUAGUUCUCCCUUAACUUCCCCCUCAAGGACCCCCAACCUACAAACAUGAUGGAGUUAAGAGCUACUCGAAGGAGGUACAGCUCCCUCGAAAAAGAAAACAACCUCCCCUAGCGGAUAAUGCUAAAUUUUCCCACACCGUAGGCCUUCAAGCAGCCACCAACAAAGAGUGCGUCAAAGCUCACACCAUAAAAAUCCUUAAACUCACUUGACUCCCUUACCCCAAGCAGGUUAAUCUAUGAUCAUAGAAGAAUUAAUGCUAAAAUUAGUAACUUGGAACCCCCUCUAUGGCGCAAACUUACAUCCAAACAUUAUUAACAGACCCAAACCUAUACCACUACCUCCAACAAGAAUAAAUAUUUGCCCAACCUGUUAAACCUACUCAGGAGCGCCCACACAAGACGAUUAAAAUCUGCAGAAGGAACUCGGCAAACUCAAAGACCCGACUGUUUCCCAAAAACAUAGCCUUUAGCAACCAACAAGUAUUAAAGGUGAUGCCUGCCCAGUGACCUAGACGUUCAACGGCCGCGGUAUCCUAACCGUGCGAAGGUAGCGCAAUCAAUUGUCCCAUAAAUCGGGACUUGUAUGAAUGGCUAAACGAGGUCUCAACUGUCUCCUGCAAAUAAUCAGUGAAAUUGGCAUUCCCGUGCAAAGACGAGAAUGAGAACAUAAGACGAGAAGACCCUGUGGAACUUCAAAAUCAUCGACCACCCCAACACCAACACAAUCCACCCUGGACCCACUAUCAUAAAACACNNNGUCGACAUUUUUCGGUUGGGGCGACCUUGGAGAAAAACAAAUCCUCCAAACCUAUCAGACCAACAGUCUUAACCUAGACCAACCCAUCAAAGUACUAACAGUAAUUAGACCCAAUACAAUUGAUCAAUGAACCAAGCUACCCCAGGGAUAACAGCGCAAUCUCCUCCAAGAGCCCAUAUCGACAAGGAGGUUUACGACCUCGAUGUUGGAUCAGGACAACCUAAUGGUGCAGCCGCUAUUAAGGGUUCGUUUGUUCAACGAUUAACAGUCCUACGUGAUCUGAGUUCAGACCGGAGCAAUCCAGGUCGGUUUCUAUCUAUGAACACACUCCUCCCAGUACGAAAGGACCGGUAGAAGUGGGGUCAAUACCAAAGGCACACCCCCUCUCUAAGCAGUGAACCCAACUCAACUGCCAAGAGAUUUAUCAACCCCCCCUCACCCCUCAAACCCUAGAAAAGGGACA